UAGGGAAUCUUCCACAAUGGACGCAAGUCUGAUGGAGCAACGCCGCGUGAGUGAAGAAGGUUUUCGGAUCGUAAAGCUCUGUUGUUGGUGAAGAAGGAUAGAGGCAGUAACUGGUCUUUAUUUGACGGUAAUCAACCAGAAAGUCACGGCUAACUACGUGCCAGCAGCCGCGGUAAUACGUAGGUGGCAAGCGUUAUCCGGAUUUAUUGGGCGUAAAGCGAGCGCAGGCGGAAUGAUAAGUCUGAUGUGAAAGCCCACGGCUCAACCGUGGAACUGCAUCGGAAACUGUCAUUCUUGAGUGCAGAAGAGGAGAGUAGAAUUCCAUGUGUAGCGGUGGAAUGCGUAGAUAUAUGGAAGAACACCAGUGGCGAAGGCGGCUCUCUGGUCUGCAACUGACGCUGAGGCUCGAAAGCAUGGGUAGCGAACAGG
rnacentral:rRNA from 1 species